GUGGGGAAUAUUGGGCAAUGGGCGAAAGCCUGACCCUGCAACGCCGCGUGAGUGAAGAAGUAUUUCGGUAUGUAAAGCUCUAUCAGCAGGGAAGAUAAUGACAGUACCUGACUAAGAAGCCCCGGCUAACUACGUGCCAGCAGCCGCGGUAAUACGUAGGGGGCAAGCGUUAUCCGGAUUUACUGGGUGUAAAGGGAGCGUAGACGGAAUGGCAAGUCUGAAGUGAAAUCCUGCGGCUUAACUGCAGAAUUGCUUUGGAAACUGUCAAUCUGGAGUGUUGGAGAGGUAAGCGGAAUUCCUGGUGUAGCGGUGAAAUGCGUAGAUAUCAGGAAGAACACCGGAGGCGAAGGCGGCUUACUGGACAAUAACUGACGUUGAGGCUCGAAAGCGUGGGAAGCAAACAGGAUUAGAUACCCUGGUAGUCC
rnacentral:rRNA from 1 species